rnacentral:rRNA from 1 species
ACCCCCCGAAACUAAGCGAGCUACUCUAAAACAGCCCAUAGAGCUAACCCAUCCCUAUUGCAAAAGAGUGGGAAGAUUUUAAAGUAGAGGUGACACACCUACCGAGCCUAGAGAUAGCUGGUUAUUCAAAAGACGGAUUUAAGUCCCACUUUAAGUUUUUUUAGCCCACCAAACAACCUUAAAACUUAGAAGUCAUUCAAAUAAGGUACAGCCUAUUUGAACAAGGAGACAACCUACAAUACCGGGUAAUGACUCCCCACUGUGACCAAGUAGGCCUAAAAGCAGCCACCUUCCUAAGAGCGUCCAAGCUUCCUCACAAUCAUUUUUAAUCCCACUAUUUAAUCACAACCCCUAACCACUAUUGAAUGACCCCAUACCCGUAUGGGAGACAUCAUGCUUGAACUAGUAACAAGAAGAUGAACUUCUCCUAAAUGUAAGCAUAAGCCAAAAUGAACCUCUCACCGGCACCUAUCGCUUACCAUAGUAUCAAAUCCGCCCCAAGAAAAUUCUACUACCCAAAGCGUUAACCUUACACUAGA